rnacentral:tRNA from 1 species
AGUCUCGAGGUGACUUUCAUGUUGAAUUGCAAAUUCAAAGGAGCAGCUUCAAUCCUGCCGGGACUU